rnacentral:rRNA from 1 species
GAAUCUGCCUGGUAGUGGGGGAUAACGUUCGGAAACGGACGCUAAUACCGCAUACGUCCUACGGGAGAAAGUGGGGGAUCUUCGGACCUCACGCUAUCAGAUGAGCCUAGGUCGGAUUAGCUAGUUGGUGGGGUAAUGGCUCACCAAGGCGACGAUCCGUAACUGGUCUGAGAGGAUGAUCAGUCACACUGGAACUGAGACACGGUCCAGACUCCUACGGGAGGCAGCAGUGGGGAAUAUUGGACAAUGGGCGAAAGCCUGAUCCAGCCAUGCCGCGUGUGUGAAGAAGGUCUUCGGAUUGUAAAGCACUUUAAGUUGGGAGGAAGGGCAGUCAGUUAAUACCUGGUUGUUUUGACGUUACCAACAGAAUAAGCACCGGCUAACUUCGUGCCAGCAGCCGCGGUAAUACGAAGGGUGCAAGCGUUAAUCGGAAUUACUGGGCGUAAAGCGCGCGUAGGUGGUUCAGCAAGUUGGAGGGAACCCCGGGCUCAACCUGGGAACUGCCUCCAAAACUACUGAGCUAGAGUACGGUAGAGGGUGGUGGAAUUUCCUGUGUAGCGGUGAAAUGCGUAGAUAUAGGAAGGCGCCAGUGGCGAAGGCGACCACCUGGACUGAUACUGACACUGAGGUGCAAAGCGUGGGGAGCAAACAGGAUUAGAUACCCUGGUAGUCCACGCCGUAAACGAUGUCGACUAGCCGUUGGGAUCCUUGAGAUCUUAGUGGCGCAGCUAACGCGAUAAGUCGACCGCCUGGGGAGUACGGCCGCAAGGUUAAAACUCAAAUGAAUUGACGGGGGCCCGCACAAGCGGUGGAGCAUGUGGUUUAAUUCGAAGCAACGCAAGAACCUUACCUGGCCUUGACAUGCUGAGAACUUUCCAGAGAUGGAUUGGCGCCUUCGGGAACUCAGACACAGGUGCUGCAUGGCUGUCGUCAGCUGUGUCGUGAGAUGUUGGGUUAAGUCCCCGUAACGAGCGCAACCCU